rnacentral:rRNA from 1 species
GUGCCAGGAGCCGCGGUAAUACGGAGGGGGUUAGCGUUGUUCGGAAUUACUGGGCGUAAAGCGCGCGUAGGCGGACAUUUAAGUCAGGGGUGAAAUCCCGGGGCUCAACCCCGGAACUGCCUCCAAAACUACUGGUCUAGAGUUCGAGAGAGGUGAGUGGAAUUCCGAGUGUAGAGGUGAAAUUCGUAGAUAUUCGGAGGAACACCAGUGGCGAAGGCGGCUCACUGGCUCGAUACUGACGCUGAGGUGCGAAAGUGUGGGGAGCAAACAGGAUUAGAAACCCGUGUAGUCC